rnacentral:lncRNA from 1 species
CACGACCCAGUAUUACUAAUCCAGAUUUCUUAGGAUUAAUUAUACCACCUCCCCCCUAGGAUUAACUUAAACCAGGAUAUUAUGUAUUUAGUCAUGAUAGCAAACACCAACUCAGUAUUAAUAAUCUGACAUUAUCCACGCUAAAUAUCCUGGAUACAAAUUAUCCUACAUAAUCCAAUUAGACUAAAUAUACCUAAAUAAAAGCCCAAACAUAAACGGCCCAUGUUUAAAUUUAACAAAUACAGAAAAGGUCAAAGAGAAGAAUAUGAAAGGAAAUUUAAAACCCUAUUUGUUCAUCUUCAUAGGUAGCGCCGCUUCUUGAAUCUCCUGUCUUCCCACUUUUUUCAUCUCAUCUUCUUUUUUCUUAUUUUUCACUAUGAUCUUCUUCUUCCAACAAAUAUAUCUAACGUCACCCAAACCCAC